rnacentral:rRNA from 1 species
CCUACGGGAGGCAGCAGUGGGGAAUAUUGCACAAUGGGGGAAACCCUGAAGCAGCAACGCCGCGUGGGGGAUGAAGGUUUUCGGAUUGUAAACUCCUUUUGUUAGGGAAGAUAAAGACGGUAUCUAGCGAAUAAACACCGGCUAACUCCGUGCCAGCAGCCGCGGUAAUACGGAGGGUGCAAGCGUUACUCGGAAUCACUGGGUGUAAAGGGAGCGUAGGCGGGAUAGCAAGUCAGAUGUGAAAUCCUAUGGCUUAACCAUAGAACUGCAUUUGAAACUGUUAUUCUAGAGUAUGGGAGAGGUAGGUGGAAUUCUUGGUGUAGCGGUAAAAUCCGUAGAGAUCAAGAGGAAUACUCAUGGCGAAGGCGACCUGCUAGAACAUAACUGACGCUGAUGCGCGAAAGCGUGGGGAGCAAACAGGAUUAGAUACCCGAGUAGUC